AAUGCAUGAAUCCGAACUCAUUUAUACUAUGGAAGCAUGAUACCACGUCUCAUGUAGAAUGCUAAAUGCAACUAUGGCCUAAUAAGCUACUCUCUACUACAUAGAGGUCCCAAAAUUUCAUCAUACAUAACAUAGGCCUUUUAAACAUUCUUAAAUUCACAAUAAAUACAUAUAACAAGAAUAUGCAUGCCUUUUCAUUUAACGAUACUUAAUUAAGCACAUAUGAGAAUUUCUCAUUGUGUGGCUAGGUCAAACCCACCGAACCGUCGCGUAGGGUCUCGUUUCGCCGAACAAAGUUGUCCCCGAGUCUCAAAAUAUCCUAAAAGUGAUCAGCGAAGAGAUACGAGGGCAUUACGAUUAUCGCAUAAUAUCAAACUUUAACAAAUUUAGCAAAAGGGCUAAAACUCACCCAAUGUGUGGAAAAUCUCUCUCAAGCUCCAAAAGAGAGCUAAAUCUCUUUCAAUCUAAGCCCAAGGAAUGUUCUAAUCCAACCAAUUUGGGUCCAAAAGCCCUAAGUCAAAAAUGCCCAAAAAUAAGCCCUAAAACCUCAUCUAGGGUUUCAUCUCAAAGAAACCUCCAAAAUUCAAAUUUAGAGGAAAGGAUCUUGCCACUUACCUUUUAGAAGCUUCAAUCCAAGCUCAAAGUCUUCAAACUUCAAGUAUUUUCCCUCAAUCAAACUCCAAACCCAAGUUCCAAGCUUCAAAAAUGGUGGAAAUAGCUCUAAUAGGCAAAAGAGAGGGAAAAACAAUCAAAAU
rnacentral:lncRNA from 1 species